GCCUCAUCGCCAUAAAGAAUGGUGCAUUAGAAGAAGAAUAAUUAAUUGUAUUUUAUACCACUCCAGGUGGCGUUUUACAUAUAAACAUUACUCAAUGGACGUUGAAGGAGGCUACAAUUAAUAACAAAUUUCAAGACAGACAGUGUAUAUUUAAAUUGGACCUCAUUGGAAAUGCGCUGGACUCUGGCCUAAUGGGCGAUCCUGAUGCUCAUUACGUGAUGUAGGCAAAGAAGAAAUGUCCGGGCUCAAUCGUGAAAGGGCAACAGAACUUACCAAUUAUUCAUAGAUAGCCAAAAAUUGUGUCACUCAUCAAGCAUCAAGCUUCCUGCAAAAAUUCUGGAUAUGAAAUUAAUAAAAAUAUAGUGUGAAUUUUAGUUUUUUUAAAUGUUUUCCUCUGCAAUAAUCUAAAAAAUAAUGUUAGCAAUACGUAGUAAUUCUUGUAGGCUUUAUGUUUAUUAAUAGGCCUAUUGUAUUAUUACUGCUAAUGUUUAUCUUAUUAAUAGAGAAAGUAACUCGUUUGUUGUAAAGAAUAUAGACAUGCAAGAUAAUAAGAUAUAACAUUUUGAAGAUUAAAAUCAGAUUUAUUGAUUUUUGCUGGAUGUACAUGAUAUAGGCCUACAGU